GCCAGGCAUGGUGGCGCAUGCCUGUGGUCCCAGCUGCUCUGGAGGCUAAGGUGGGAGGAUCACUUGCGCCCAGGAGGUCAAGGCUGCAGUGAGUUAUGAUUGUGUCUGCGAAUAGCCACUGCACUCCAGCAUGGGCAGCAUAGGAAGACCCUAUCUCUU
ensembl:misc_RNA Metazoa_SRP Metazoan signal recognition particle RNA